CUCAUGGAGAGUUCGAUCCUGACUCAGGAUUAACACUGGCGACAUGCUUAACAUAUGCAAGUUGGAUUUGAAGUGGUGUUUCCAGUGUCGAACGGGUGAGUAACGCAUAAGAACCUGCCCUUGGGAGGGGAACAACAGCUGGAAACGACUGCUAAUACCCUGUAGACUGAGGAGCAAAAGGAGGAAUUCGCUCGAGGAUGGGCUCGUGUCUGAUUAGCUAUUUGAUGAUGCAAUAGCUUACCAAGACGAUGAUUAGUAGUUGGUCUAAAAGGAUGAUCAGCUACACUGGGACUGAGACAGACCCAAACUCUUAUGGGAGGCAGCAAUAGUGAAUUUUCUACAAUGGGCGAAAGCUUGACGAGCAAUGCUCCAUAGAGGUAGAAGGCCCACGGGUCAUGAACUUUUCCCAGAGAAGUAGAAAUGAUUGUAUUUGAGGAAUAAGCAUCGGGUAACUCUGUGCCAACAGCCGCGAUAAUACAAAGGAUGUAAGCAUUAUUCGAAAUGAUUGGGCGUAAAGUGUCUAUAGGUGGCUUUUUAAGUCCGCUGUCAAAUCCCAAGGCUCAACCCUAGACAAGCGGUAGAAACAACUAAGCUGGAGUACAGUAGGGGCAGAGGGAAUUUUUGGUGGUGUGGUGAAAUGCGUAGAGAUCAGAAAGAACACCAACGACGAAAGCAUUCUGCUGGGUUGACACUGACACUGAGAGACAAAAGCUAGAGGAGCGAAUGAGAUUAGAUACCUCAGUAGUCCAAGCAAAAAAUGAUUAAUACUAGGCAUUGUGCGUAUCGGCCGGUGCAGUGCUGUAGCAAACAUGUUAAGUAUCCCGCCUGGGUAGUACAUUCAUAAGAAUAAAACUCAGAGGAAUUGAUAGGGGCCCACACAAGCGGUAGAGCAUGUUGUUUUAUUCGAUCCAAAGCAAAAAACCUUACCAAGGUUUGACAUGUCACGAAUCCUCUUGAAAGAGAGGGGUGUCUUUGCGAACACGAAUACAUGUGGUGUAUAGCUAUUGUCAGCUCGUGUCGUAAGGUGUUGGGUUAAUUCCUGUAACGAGCACAACCCUCGUGUUUAGUUACCACCGUUGAGUUUAGAACCCUGAGCAUACUGUCGGUGAUAAGCUGGAAGAAUGUGAGGAUGACGUCAAGUCAUCAUGCCCCUUAUGCCAUGGGCGAUACAUGUGCUACAAUGGACGAGACAAGGGGUCGCGAUCCUGCUAGGGUGAGCUAACUCUGAAAACCCGUUCACAGUUUGGAUUAUAGGCUGUAACUCGCUUGCAUGAAGCCUGAAUCACUAGUAAUCGUUAGUCAGCCAUAUGGUGGUAAAUUUUAUUCUCGGGCCUUAUACACAUCGCCCGUCACACUAUGGGAGCUAGCUAUGCCCGAAGUAGUUACCUUAAUCGCAAUGAGAGGGAUGCCGAAGGUAGGGUUAGUGACUAGAGUGAAGUUGUAACAAGGUAAUCGUACUGGAAGAUGCGGCUGGAUCACCUUCUUU
rfam:Gossypium raimondii Chr12_contig_551, whole genome shotgun sequence.